rnacentral:rRNA from 1 species
UACGAAGGGGGCUAGCGUUGUUCGGAAUCACUGGGCGUAAAGGGCGCGUAGGCGGCUUUAUAAGUCGGGGGUGAAAGCCUGUGGCUCAACCACAGAAUUGCCUUCGAUACUGUAUGGCUUGAGACCGGAAGAGGUUAGUGGAACUGCGAGUGUAGAGGUGAAAUUCGUAGAUAUUCGCAAGAACACCAGUGGCGAAGGCGGCUGACUGGUCCGGUUCUGACGCUGAGGCGCGAAAGCGUGGGGAGCAAACAGGAUUAGAUACCCCUUGUAGUCC